ACGAACGCUUGCGGCGUGCUUAACACAUGCAAGUCGAACGGUGAAGCGCCUUCCUUUUUGGUGGGUGUGGAUGAGUGGCGAACGGGUGAGUAACACGUGAGUAACCUGCCCCCUUCUUCUGGAUAACCGCAUGAAAGUGUGGCUAAUACGGGAUAUUCUGGGUCUGUCGCAUGAUGGGUCUGGGAAAGAUAUUGUUUCGGUGGGGGAUGGGCUCGCGGCCUAUCAGCUUGUUGGUGGGGUGAUGGCCUACCAAGGCGGUGACGGGUAGCCGGCCUGAGAGGGUGGACGGUCACACUGGGACGGAGACACGGCCCAGACUCCUACGGGAGGCAGCAGUGGGGAAUAUUGCACAAUGGGCGCAAGCCUGAUGCAGCGACGCCGCGUGAGGGAUGGAGGCCUUCGGGUUGUGAACCUCUUUCGCCAGUGAAGCAGGCCUGCCUCGUUUGUGGGUGGGUUGACGGUAGCUGGAGAAGAAGCGCCGGCUAACUACGUA
rnacentral:rRNA from 1 species